GCAGCCUACAUUUAAAGAUAUACAGAUAAGCAAAGAAGAAUGAUAAUACAAAGGAAAAAAGCCUAAAAAGAAAAUGUAAAGUUUAACUAUUUUACACUCACCCAUUGCAACAUUCACUCUUCCCUGAAUAAAAUAUAAAGUUUAACUAUUUUACACUCACCCAUUGCAACAUUCACUCUUCCCUGAAUAGUUUUAUCAAGCAAGAAGACAGUAUUUCAAAUCCCAGAAUUCUUAAAAUCAAGACACCAGACAACACUUAAAUAGAACCAGAACACAGAGAAAGAACCACAAAACAGCUCAAUAAAGCUUACUGCAAACUUCCUAAAACCUUGUUUAGAAUUUAAUUUUAUUUGGAACUGAUUCUUUCAAUUGAAA
rnacentral:lncRNA from 1 species